CAACAUCCAUAUGACCAUAUAUGAUGAUUUAGCCCCAAAUACCUUAACCCAAGGUCAUGACCUCCAUUGUUCUUCAUAAAGCUUGAUGAGUAAGGCUCUAUGGACCUCUAUGGAUCCAGAUCCAAAGCCUCAUCACCAGAAGGGACUAAUUUGACAUCAAAUCAACUUAGACAAGGGCACAAGAAACCCUAAAUCCAUAUAUUCUUCAUAAAACAGAAGAAGAGCCGAAGUAAUACCUAAAAUGCAAUGAUCAUAGCUUCAAAUACUUAGAAUAACAACCUCCUUUGCUUUCCCUUGGCUAGGAACUCCUUCUUCUUGCUAAACAACACCACAAAGGUCAAGAAUGGCUUCCUUUCUCUCUCAAAACGCUCAAGCACUCUAGGGUUUCUCUCUAUGGACUGGUAGCCUCAAAUGACGGCCAUAAGGGUCUUUAAAUAGGGCGCACACCCGAGAAGUUAGGGUUUCAUUAAGCAACGUGGACUCGCCGAGUCCACAUAUGGACUCGCCGAGUCCUUCAUUAAUCGGCCACUCACAUCGCGAUCCAACUCGGCGAGUCGGGGCUCCUACUCGCCGAGUCUCUCACUAAAUUCCAAUAUAAAUGAAAUAUAUAAUAUACCUGGGAAUCCGGAUGUUACAAUUCUCCCGCACUAGAAUCAGACUUCGCCCUCGAAGUCUCACUCCGCAAACAACUCUGGAUGCUACUCACGCAUCUCUCGCUCUAGUUCCUAAGUCACCUCGGACCCUCUCCGAUGUUGCCGCUGGACCUGCACCAGGGGCACUUCCUUGUUCCUCAGAACAUUGAUGUUUCGAUCCAUGAUCGCAACCGGUCUCUCAAUAUAGUUCAGGCUCGCAUCCACCUUAAAAUCUUCCAAGGCACCACCGCCGACUCGUCGGCUAUACACUCUCUCACUGAGACACAUGAAAGGAAUCGUGAAUCUGGCUUAACUCCACAGGUAGCUCGAAUCGAUAUGCUACCCUACCCAUCCUCGCGAUUACCCUAAAAGGACCAAUAUACCGGGGCCCUAGCUUGCCCCUCUUCCUGAAGCGGAUCACUCCUCUUCGAGGAGAUACCUUUAGAAGCACAAAAUCUCCGACCUGAAACUCGAGCUCGGAUUGUCGCCUAUCCGCAUAACUCUUCUGGUGACUCUGAGCGGUCAACAACCUCUUUCUGACCAGUUGUAUCUGCUCUGUCGACUGAAGCACUAUCUUUGUGCUACCCAUCACACGUUGCCCUACCCCUCCCCAGCAAAUGGGAGUCCGACACCUCCUCCCAUACAACAGCUCAAAGGGUGGCAUACCAAUGCUCGAAUAAUGGCUGUUGAUAUAGGAAAAACUCGGCCAAGGGUAAAUACGUGUCCCAACUCCCUCCGAAAUCUAAUACACAUGCCCGAAGCAUGUCCUCGAGCAUCUGAAUCGUCUGCUCGUGCUGCCCGUCUGUCGGUGGGUGGUAUGCGAUACUAAAAUGCAGCCUCGUACCCAACUCCUCAUGAAAUUUCUUCCAGAAUCUGAAAGAAACACACAUCUCAAUCUGAGACGAUCGAAAUCGACACUCCAUGCCGUGAUACCACCUCCCUCACUUACAACUCUGCCAACCUCUCAGCGGAAGAGCUCUCACUGACUUCCUCUUAGCAUCAACUGUCUCGGCCCUGUGACACACGAGUCACAAAAUUCUCAAAUGAAAAGUACAAUCCAACUGAAAAUUGACUUAGUCCUGACAGGGACGGAGACCCCAGUCUCACCCCUGGUUCAACCACCAAGCUCCAAAAACUCAAUACUAAGGCUACUCAAGCCUAAAACUCUUAUGCAACAUACACUGAUCGGAGAACACUCCAUCAUCAUACUCUCUAGCCGUCUAGUGAGUACUAUGGCCCCCUGCAACAUCACGACAGCCUUUGACUAGUGAGUACUAUGGCUCCCCGUAGCACCACAACACCAAUUGACUAGUGAGUACUACGGCUCCCCGUAGUACCACGACUCCCUCUCUCUGACUUGUGAGUACUACGGCUCCCCAUAGCAUCACAACACCCUCUGACUAGUGAAUACUACGGCUCCCCAUAGUACUACGACUCCCCGUAGUACUACGACUCCCUCUCUCUGACUUGUGAGUACUACGGCUCCCCGUAGCAUCACAACACCCUCUGACUAGUGAUUACUACGACUUCCCAUAGCUUCACCCCAUAGUCUCAUUCUCAUCCCAACGACACACUACGUCCACUAACUCAUGCUCCGUAGACUAUCAUAGAUAGCUACACACACUUGUCCCACAUAUGCGUCAUAGACUCUGGCGGCAACCGCUAUAACAAAAUACCUACCUCUGCGAAGAUCCACUUUCUUAAAUAAUCCCUUCUGAUGCCAAAACCCGAAGGGCUCCCACUGGAACCGAAAAUACAUGAUACACCACUAGUCGUCCCAACUCAAGAUUCUAAAUAACUCCGAAAUCGGGACAUUAUACCCGGUCACCACGGAACACCAUUACAGAACAUCGCGAUGUCCUGCCUCAAUCACUGAUCUCCUACUCCCAGCACUAUACAGAUACAACAGUACAUUUCCUCUGAACUCCAUAAAUAAUUCCUCAUUUUACCCAAUGCGCAACUUCAGUGUAUUCAAACACUCAAUUGGAAUACAAAGAAGGCGUUAACGCUUCAGAACAUGCUGAUGAUCCUCUGAAACCCUUUCCCAUACCGCUCAAAAUCCAAGCAAGAAUAUACAUACCAGCCCGGGAGUUGGUUGCUCGAUAAUCUUCUAUCCACCCCAAAAAGGGCAUAUACAGUCCAUACUUCGACCCAGAAGUUCUCAACUGCCCAUACCAUCAUAACGAGUCUUCCACUUGAAACAGCCCUGACCACCACCAGAUUCUUGACCAUUGGCCACCUGCCGAGGAGACACCCAUCUUUUCUCAGACACAUACCACAUGCAUUAUCUCGCUCUGCACCUUUCCUUGAUCACCAAUGACCCUGGCCUCAUGAAUUCGAGCAGCAGCUUCCUGUAUCCAACCCCUAGCCGCUCUUGCAAAUCUCUGGUUCCCUCAAUAAAAUACCAAGUUCUCCCCCACUUAGGGUUCAAACCAUCACCAAUUGACGCAUCAACUCUCUACCCCACAGACGGUUUCCUCCAGAAACAUCGAACAUACACUUGGAAGGUGCCACACAACGCCCAAUGAUCUCCCCACGUAGAGAUCAAGAAACCUCAAAUACCCUAAAUCUCCGAAGAAAUCCUCAGGAACUUCUCAUCACGACUGCCUCUAGCCAUUCGAAGUCUCAUACCAUCCCAAUACUGAAUAUCCCAAUUGUUCAGUACUAUCACUGACUCUUAGACUGAAACAAUAAAUCAUAAUACUCCUCAUCCUAGACUUCUCAACCCCCGUUCCAACACGUGAAUCAUCACGAGAAUAGGGACUCCACUACCAUACUCAAUGCCCAUCAUAGACAGAAGAGCCACCGCUCUGAUAUACUCGACUGGAUUACCCGUUGAUACCGCCACCACACGCCCUACUAUACUCAAUUAGGGUGUAAUGUGGUCCUUGAUCGUCUCAAUCCCCACUGACUACCUGCUCAUGGUAGAUCAUUUCCACGCGGCAGACAUGCUGCCUGAUACUCUAGUGGAAAAAUCGUCAUCAAUGACCACCCGUAGGGUUUACUCCUAAACCCAAAACCGAAAUCUCACACCUCUCCUACUUCCCAUAGGAAACAUAAAUAGCACCCAACAAGUCACAGAAGGUGACAUCUCCUCUAUCGGCUGAUUGGUCACUCAGAUUGCAAUCCCCCAUAAAUGCCUUCUCUACUAAUCUUGGAGUCAUGCGACAACCUCUGACGUCUUACCAAGGUAAUCUGAAAUGCUCUCGACCUCCCUCUCAAGGGAUUCCUUUUCGAACUCAAUCAUGGCCCUCAAGCCUAAAACCCCAUCGCGUCCAAACUCCACCAAUCAAUCCUGAUCGAAAAACCAGAGAAUCACAAGCAUCAAUUGCUAAGAAGCAUGGUACUCAGCCCCUGACAUCCCUUCUCAGUCUGCUACAAUGCGUGGCACUCGAACUCUAACAUCACCCCUCAAUCUGCUAAGAUGCAUGGUACUGAACCAUGGCAUCACUUCCCAAUUUGCUUUGAUGUAUGGUACUUGAACCAUAACAUCACUCCUCAAUAUGCUCCGAUGUAUGGCACUCGAACCAUAACAUCACUCCCUAAUCUGCUACGAUGUAUGGUACCUGGACCAUGACAUCACUCCUCAAUCUGCAACGAUGUAUGGUACUCGAACCAUGACAUCACUUCUCAAUCUGCUACGAUGUAUGGUACUCGAACCAUGACAUCACUUCUCAAUAUGCUACUUAGAACCUUCAGAAUACUCCCUGUAUCGAGUAUGGGUCCUCUGCUUUCGGUAGUACAGGCCCAUACGACCUGCCACAUCUACCCAUACUUUCCACACAGACCAUUCCAAAGCUCCUAAAUAGUUUCUCAACCUUCUCGUUCGCUAAUUCUGCCACGCGUGCUCGCUCCUCAGCGAAAUGCUCUACUCCGCUAGCGUACUCAUCUGGCUAAGGUCACUCCCGCUUCUCCGCCAUCAGCUGCUGAAGAGCUCCUAAUGAUGCCAGUCAUCUACCUCUUAAAUAUCGUCAUAUUCACUUGGUAGCUGACUCCCAUCGUUGAGAGUUCCACAAAGCACGAAGCAAGCAGCAUUCGGGUAUCGAAGAAUACAUAGAGCUCACUCUGGAUGAUAACUCCGCUUGCUCUGCUCAUUCUCAAGGUACCACCAAACUCUGCAACUCUGCUCCUCGCGGGUUCUAACUAUUCUUCGAUAAACACCACAAUACUCAUCUAGGCGUCUCUCCUAGAUUACUCCUCUACUCAAAUCCCCUAAAAGGAUUCCAACUGAAUACUCUCACUCAUACUCAAAAGCACAUCACAUAUAACAGCAACUCCUAGGCUAAGGCAUCACAAAUCAGGCCACUCUAGUCCUAAGAUAUGAAAUACCUAGCCUGUCUCUAGCAUGCAUAAUAUCUCAUAAAAUGNNNNNNNNNNNNNNNNNNNNNNNNNNNNNNNNNNNNNNNNNNNNNNNNNNNNNNNNNNNNNNNNNNNNNNNNNNNNNNNNNNNNNNNNNNNNNNNNNNNNNNNNNNNNNNNNNNNNNNNNNNNNNNNNNNNNNNNNNNNNNNNNNNNNNNNNNNNNNNNNNNNNNNNNNNNNNNNNNNNNNNNNNNNNUGUAACACCGAAAUUUUCAAAACAAAAUUUUCAAUUAAAAUAGUUUAUCUCUUUAACACUUUUCAUAAAAAUCUCCUUUUUAUUUUAAUUACAAUGCAUAACUCUUUUGUUCAAUCAAUUAAUAAACCAGGAUCCUCAAAACAAACGCUUUCUCUGGUGUGUACAAUCGAGCCGGUGCCGUCCCGUGAUCCUGAGAAAACCUGAAACAUAUAACACAAAACACUAUAAGCACGAAGCUUAGUGAGUUCCCCAAAAUACCACUAUAUCACAUAUUAGCCAUUCAAGGCUAUAACUCUGUUGACCCUCUGGUCAGUGUGUCUCAGUGGGACCCUCCAGUCCCAACUCUCUGUGGACCUUCCGGCCCUAACUCUAUGGACCCAAAGGUCCUAACUCUGAUAACUCUGAAUCAUGCAUAUCACAUAUCACAAUAAAUCUCAUAAAAUAAAUAGCAUACAAAUACACUGGCACAUAACUCUAAACCUAACUCUGUGGACCCUCUGGUCCUAGCUCUAUGGACCUUCCGGUCCUAACUCUGAUAUACACACAACAUAAAUCAAAUAGAAAUAAUGCAGUGCCUCACAUUGCAUAGAUAGCAUACAAUAACUCUGUCACAUAACUCUGUUACCACUCAAGGUAAAGUAUUGUGAGAAGACUCACCUCGGGUAUCUCGGAUGAUCUCGCACACGAAUCUACUGAUCUAGCCCCCGCCUAAUCACAUACAAAAUAUCCUCAAUAAGUAAUGGCUCCCAAAAGCUAGAUUAAACCCCCUUCUAUGAUCCAUCAGAAGGGUAAAAGACCAUUUUACCCCUCCUUGACUCAAAAGUCGAACUGUUGACUGAAACCCUAAAAGUCAAUGAAAUUCAAUGGUCACAGUUGACCCUACUCGCCGAGUGAACUAAGGUGACUCGGCGAGUACACUCCUGUCCUCUUCGCCCCUGGUCCUCUCUUAGCUCACUGAGUCAACCCUAUACUCCACGGGUUGUCACAGAUCGCGAGUCGCGGGGCAACCCGACUCAACUCGUCGAGUCGUCUCAUGGGCUCGGCGAGUACAUGCCAUGCUCACACUCAAACGACCUUCUGAGGUUAGAUCUAUUCCUCUAAUCCAUGGAUCUGGCCAUUCCAACCACUAUAAUCACAUAAAGUCUCAAUCUUGAUGCAUGUGCAACAUCCAUAUGACCAUAUAUGAUGAUUUAGCCCCAAAUACCUUAACCCAAGGUCAUGAACUCCAUUUUUCUUCAUAAAGCUUGAUGAUUAAGGCUCUCUGGACCUCUAUGGAUCCAGAUCCAAAGCCUCAUCACCAGAAGGGACUAAUUGGACAUCAAAUCAACUUAGACAAGGGCACAAGAAACCCUAAAUCCAUAUAUUCUUCAUAAAACAGAAGAAGAGCCGAAGUAAUACCUCAAAUGCAAUGAUCUUAGCUUCAAAUCCUC
rnacentral:lncRNA from 1 species